rnacentral:lncRNA from 1 species
UGUGAUUGUUGAGAAGUCAACACAGGGACAAGGAAAUCUCAGAUGGUUGUCUACAGUUACAAGGGGGAUUUUUGGACUGAUUUGUGAUUUUUCUGGGAAUGCAACUCAAGUUAGAAGAGGCCAUUAUCUGAAAGAAGAAGAAGCACCAGCUGAUGUGUUGGUUAUUUUAGGGCGACAUUUGCAGUUGCUUGGGCAAUAUCAUGAGCCUCACCUCAUGCAGGUCUGGGUCCCAGACCCAAAGACUGCUCCUCCAUACUCAGAGAUACCAGCACUAACAGAGCAGCUCCUCUUCUUCAGUACAGAUGCUUCUCAACUUACAAUGAGGUUAUACCCUUAUAAACACAUGAGAUCGUAACCCCCUCGUUUUCUUCAUAUGUCUCCUAA